rnacentral:lncRNA from 1 species
UGCUCUGUGAACAAACCCAGAGGUCCAACGUUUGUGGAAGGCCGUCUUCUACUCACUUCAGAAGACGAAUAUGACAAUGUGACCCAUUCCCUGAGAUGUUUUACAACUUGAGGGAAAAAAGUGUGACUCUGAGAUGUACCAGCUGUUAGGCCAGAGACAACCCUCAGAUCACCUGGGACUUGCUCCUUGUUGCCUCCUCUUUGAUCUUUGCAUCAGAGGGCCCUGCCAGUCUCUGUCCUCACAGUACCCAGUCUCUUGGAGCCCAAAUGGACUACGACAGUGCCCAAGAAAGACAUAAGGGGAAGAGUACCAGCUGAGAAUACAUACCAAAGAUGCUGUCUCCAGCACUGCAUGGGACAAGGAUGAAGCCUCAUCAGCCAGCUGAACUGGAACAAGUAUAUUCUAAAACUCCAUCCUAUUUUAAUUUUUCUAUUUUUAAUGCAGAGUUAAUCCAUAUCAGCUUUCUUAACCAUAAAGCCAUUCCAAGCGCUAACUUUUGUUUAAUUAGCACUUUGCAAAUUAAAACUUCAGUGUGAAAAGUAUUUUAAGCAUAUUGGAUGGAACAAAGUAUAGUUUGAGAAUGUUAUCCAUCAUAUAGGAAUGGAUCAGACAGAACACUGUGAAAUCAACAAUGUGCUUUUAUUAAUAUUCCUCAAUCCCAGUCAUUAUCCAAUAAACCUCAUUUCUUCCUUCUUUUAUAUGCUUUGACACUUGGGAUCAUCACUAAAGCCCCUUUCAAGCUUCAACAUUCCAUUUUUUCCCAGACGUUUGCUAGUCUAGUCAAUUUAUUAAGAACUGAAAUAUAAAGAGGUAAAAUGUAAAAUAAUCUGAGUAGUAGAAAGAACACUGAAUUUAAGAAUCAGAAAAUCUCUUUCAGUCAAGAAUGUGUACAUCUGACUUUGUAAACUUGGGGCAUAAAUCAUUUUAACCUCUCUAGGUUCUAUUACUAUCACUAUUUUGGGGUGUGAAUAAAUUAUAAGUCUAGACUCACCUAUGAUGUCAGAAUGAAUUAAGCAGAUAUGGAAGCACUUUUGAAACAUAAAUUGCGAUUGCAACUGUCCAAGGCCACAAAAGAAAUUACUAAAAUAACUCAAAGGAAGUGUUAUAUAUCAAGGAUUCAAAACACAAGAAACAUCCCUAAAAUAUAACAUUCUAACUGAUUUUCUUAAAGAUUGAUCUUUUUUAAAAGUCACAUAAGGGUAAUGAUUGAGGAAUGAUCUGCCACAUCUUGCAGCCUGUGAUGUAUUGUUCAGUGAUAUCAUUGUGGCCAACGAGGCACCAAAGAGCAGGCGAUCACAGUGACAUCAUGGCAGGAUCACUGACAAUGCUCGUGAUGUGACGAUUCUUUAUCAUUUAUAUGUUGGGCUGGUUAUAAAGUAUUUAAUUGGUAUUGUUCACAUUUAUAUCAUGUGAUGAGACAUUCUUGUCACCAUUAUUCAGUUUCUGAAUAUUCUUGGUGAAUGAUCUUCAGGGAGCCCUGGCUUCUGACCGAGGGUUUCUAUCCUUUGUCAAGCCACCCUAUUCCCUCACUUUUCAAUCACUUUACCUAUGACUAAUAGAAAGUUCAAAGCAAAAACCUAUUGAUUAAUUUUCAACUAGCAACAGAUAAUGAAACACAUUUUGCAUGUACAUUUUUGGAUUCCCAUUCUCCUGACCAAAGUAAAUUGGCUGGAAAUAAAAGACAUGUAAAAAAUCUCAUGCAGUUGUACUAAUUGAUCUGAGAGGAAAAAUGUAAAAUAUGUAGAUACCUUGAUUGUCUCCUCUUCAUCCCAUUGACUAGGGAGGGAUUCCACACUACGGUUAUGGGGAUGGCCCAAGAUAUGACAUCUAAUACUGGACAGAUGAGAUUGACAGUAGUGUACAGUCCAGGGGAGGAGAGGAAGAUACUGCACCAUGCAGGGCUGAAUGGGGAUGUGCUCAGGAACAGAGUGAAUAAGCAGACCCUGUGGAAAGCAGGCUUUAUAGUAGCAAGAGCAUGGAGUGACUCCUUGUUUCUCAGAUGGAUGUGAUCGGCUUGUUUGAAUAAUUCAGUGGGCUGGCAGGGAACUGAAGUCUACUACUCAGGGAUAAGCAGGCACUGUGCCUUGUCCUUGUAAUAAGGAGGGUUGUUUGGCUAGGACACCUUAUCAGUAGGAGCGAAGUGUGUAGGAUGAUGCAGUUAGGACAUCAGAGGCCCUCCCAGUUUAGAUGUCAAAGUAGCACAUCAUUGUUAUUUUAAGCCUUACACUACAACAGACAUCAUAUAAAGACACUUACCAAUUUGGACCAGGAGGCACAGCUCCCAUAACUUCUAUCGUCCAUCACUUUUUACCCCUGCUCGUAAGUCAAACAAUAAAGGAAAGUCCUCUCAAAGUCUUAGACAGAAUUAGGAGUGCUAAGAGCAUUGUUGAGGCCAUUCCUAGCCUUCCUUCUUGUUCAGAAACUACAGAUCGAAAGUCAAGGGGCCCUCCUUGGCAGCCUGCAGCUGGUGGCUGCCCUGUCUCCAGCAAAGGUUUUUCUGACUGUUCAGGCACACAACUGUGACUCCCCACGAGCAGACCCACUUACGUUUACCAAGACAAGAUAACAGAGUCAAUUAGCCUUGUCAGUCACUGUGACUAUAACUUAGAAGAAUAGAAGCCCACUGAUCACACUUAAUGAAAAUACAAGGUGACAAGAAAGUCAUCUGCAGCUGUUUAUGGACAAGAAUUUGGGGAAAAUGUAUUAAGAACAGUUAUAAUUAGAGAUACACACAAAAACAGAUAUGCUAUAUGCUAUAUUAUAAUAAAAUUGACAUUAUAAUAUUUACUAUAUUUACAUACUGAAUACAUUUAAAACAAUAAAAUUAAGUGAAAACAUUUUUGUUGUGCUUUUCUGUUCAGUGAUACUGUCUGGUUUUUUUAUUAAAGUUUUAAAUGUUAAAUGAUGACAUUUCAAAUACACAGCCAAGUACCAAAAUUAUUAAUAGACACUCAUGUACCAACCUACCAUAUUAACAGACAUUAACAUUUUGCUUUACUUGCCUUAGAAUCAAUUUUCUCUGUUUUAAAAAGCAGAAAGCAUUAAGCACAGAUAAAGCACCCCCAUCUCAUCCUCUACCUUUCUCUCCAGAGGUAACCAUCACCCUGAAGUUAGUAUGCUUCUUUUCAUGUAUGUACAUUUAAACUUAUGUUAAUAUUAUAUAGACAUGUCCAUAAAUUAUAUAUACUGUUAUUUUGUGUGCUUUAAAUAUUUAUACAAAUACUAGAAACCAUAUGGUACAUUUCCUUUUGUAACUUGCUUUUCUUGCCAACAUGUUUUGACAUUUAUCUGUGUUAAUAUAUUUAGAUCAAGUUUGUUCAUUUUAACUUUCUGUAGUAUUUUAUUACAUGAAUAAAUGAGUUUAUUUACUCAUUUGCUUACCGAGAACAGUGGUGUUUGUUUUUUCUUUGUUUUUGAAGCAACAAGAAAUAUAAUAGAAACAAUCUAUACUGCAAGGAAGAUUUUGUCCAAGUCUCCAUGGGCACAUAUGUAAUAGCCACUGUAGGCAUUAGCCCUAUAUUUGAUAGAUGGAAAAACAUUUAUUUUUGAUGGCUCA